UCUUAUGGAUGUGCAAAGAAAGUGGUUUCUUGAAAUGGAAUCCAUUCUUGGUGAAGAUGCUUUGAA
rnacentral:pre_miRNA from 1 species